rnacentral:lncRNA from 1 species
CAUGUUCCAGGCAGUAGAGCUCCCAGCAGGCGUUGCCAAUCUGGACACCAGCUUGGCCAACGUGGAUGGAGAUGCACUCACGCUGUGGGAGGAAGGGAAGGAAAACUCAGGAACAAAAUUCUACAUUAGCUGGGUGGGAUGGCAUGCGCCUGUAAUCCCAGCACUUGGGAGGCUGAGGUAGGUUUAUUUCUAGUUCCAGGCCAGCCUGGGCUACAAAGUGGGCUCAGGCCAGCCUGAACUGCACAGACACUCUCUCAAAAGAAGCUGGGCAAGUUCAGUGGCACAAGUGCCUGCCUAGCAAGCAGGAGGUCCCGAGUUUGAUUCCCGGCACCAAGAAAAAGAAAAAAGAAAGCCAAGGAAAAUGAAAAUGUCCUUUUGUCCAGGGGAAUGGCUAGCUUCUCUACGACCUCCAAACUGAGGGCUGUUGCGACGCAGAAGUCUGCUUACUCACGGCGUCCUCCUCUGGAGGACCAAGCUAGGGAGGGGUCAGCCCCACGGUCCCUCUGCAGCGCGGGCGCCCAGCUUUCCGGACGGCGCCGGGCGCAGCAAGCACGUGGCCGGGCAGUGCAGAAGAAAAUGUCCGCGCGCGGGGCGGGGCUCUGCGGCACGGGAUGAAUGCGCCACUCCCGACCGCACGGCUACCGUCCAACCCGCCUUCCCGCGGCCAGCGCCUCCACAUCAGCGUGGGCGUCAAGGGGCACCAGCGGCAGCCCAGGUCUGGGGCACGACCAGCCUCCCACCCCCCUUUCAGGGGCAUCGUCUACGCCCCCGCGAAGCGGUACGGCUGCAGGAGAGGAAGAUGGCCGCCGAAGGGCUGCUGGGCGGCGGCUUUUCUAGUACGGGGCGUACCGCUAGUGCUACACUGCUAAGGAAUCGAACUCACGACCUUCACUUCCCAGGCAGGCGCUGUGCCGCUGAGCUAAAUCUCCAGCCCCCGUGUAAGUAUUCUUGA